rnacentral:lncRNA from 1 species
UUUGGGUCCCCUUCCACACUGGAAGCUUUGUUCUUUUGCUCUUCACAAUAAAUCUUGCUGCUGCUCAUAGAAAGAUGCAAGCUAGUGCUAGCGAGACAGCCUGCAAAACCCCUGUGUUGUUUUGGGCUGUUAACCAUAGUCUGAGUGGCUUAGACAACAAACAUUUAUUUCUCACAGUUCUAGAGGCUAGAAGUCCAAGAGCAGAUGCCAGCAGACCUGUCUGGGGAAGGCCUGCUUCUUGGCCUGGAGACAGCCGCUUGCUCACUAUGUCUUCACAGGGCAGAGUGAACCCUGGUCUGUUUCUCUUACAAGGACACUCAUCCCACUGUGGGCCUCCACCUUUGUGAUUUCAUCUAUACCUAAAAGGCCCCACUUCCUAGUAUUCCGCCGGGGGUUCAGGCUUCAAAGAUGAAUACUGGGGGCGACACAAACGGAGCCCAUAACCUCAUGCCGCCUGACUCCUGAGGCUGUAUUCGUGAUGAACGUGUGGCUGCCCAAGUUUUGUUUUGCUCAGGCAGGAUCAGCACACACCCAGCCACAGACAGGGAAGCCCAGAGCAGGGCAGAAUAUGGUCCCUCAAGUGAAUAAUUGGCCCAGGGAUACAGAAUUAGGUGAUUCUAGCAAAUCCAGACAUUUUCUAGGGUGCCAGUGAAUUUUGGGUCUGUCCCUGUUAGCUGUUCUUGAGAUUUUGCACUCAACUUGCGAUGGUUAAUACGGAGUGUCAACUUGAUUGGAUUGAAGGAUGCAAAGUAUUGUUUCUGGGUGUGUCUGUGAGGGUGUUGCCAAAGGAGAUUAACAUUUGUGUCAGUGGGCUGGGAAAGGCAGACCCACCCUCAAUCUGGGUGGGCACCAUCUAAUCAGCUGCCAGCGUGGCCGGAAUAAAAGCAGGCAGGAGAAUGUGGAAAGACUAGACUAGUCUUGUGGCCUCCAUCUUUCUCCUGUGCUGGAUGCUUCCUGCCCUUGAACAUCGGACUCCAAGUUCUUCCGUUUUGGGACUUGGAUUAGCUUCCUUGCUCCUCAGCCUGCAGACGGCCUACUGUGGGACCCCUUCUUGCUGGAAUGCAAUGGCAUAAUCUCAACUCAUUGCAACCUUCACCUCCUGGGUUCAAGUGACUCUCCUACCUCAGCCUCUCGAGUAGCUGGGAUUAUAGGCACCUGCCACCACACCAGAUAAUUUUUGUAUUUUUGGUAGAGACGGGGUUUCGCCAUGUUGGCCAGACUGGUCUUGAACUCCUGACCUCGUGAUCCAUACACCUCGGCCUCCCAAAGUGCUGGGAUUACAGGCAUGAGCCAACACGCCCGGCAUGUUUUUCCUUUAAAAUCAGUCACAGCAAAAGUCACCGAGCAGACACUGUUCUGCCUUCUUCAGACAUUUUCUCUGGCUUCCUAGGAAUUGGGGUUUUUUUUGUUGUUUUUGUUUGUUUGUUUGUUUGUUUGUUUUAGUGUUAUUCAUCUUUUAGACUGGCCGUUCCCAUCUUAUUUGCACCUUUUGGGGAAAAGUUAACUUGCUCGAAAAUGAAAUGCACCCGAUGGCAUCUGCUGGCUUUACCUCAUGGUGAUGUUCCUUUAUGAACUAGUGACCAAAUGCUUCAUUCUCUUUUCUGAUUGUUUCCCUCCCUUUGCUCAUCCCCCACCUCAGUAAGACAUGUUACAUCAUUUUAAUGAGCAAGUGUACAUUUUUUUCCAGUGGGACUCAAAUUGUACGUUUGCUUCUUGGUCGUACAUGCAUUUUGUUUCACGGAUUUAGUUGUGUCUCCUGUUGUUCUGUGGUCAGGAUACGGGAUCAUUUGCUAGGCACUGAUUUGCUGAACACAGUAGUAUUUCGUUGAGUGGCCCUUCCUUGGAAACAACUGGCAACCCUCCUCAGCCUCCCUAGUAGCCGGGAUUAGAGGUGCACGCCACCACACCCAGCUAAUUUUUGUAUUGUUAGUAGAGAUAGGGUUUCACCAUGUUGGCCAGGAUGGUCUUGAACACCUGGCCUCAAGGGAUCCACCCACCUCGAAUUCCCAAAGUGCUGGGAUCACAGGUGUGAGCCACCGCGGACGACCUAUAAAAACUUUUAUCCCUUUCAUUUUCUCAUAGACUCCCGUUUAAGUUCUUGCUCUGUUUUGGGGGAAAGUGUUUAUUGUUUGAUUUUCUAAUAACGAAAACAUUAGAGUAGCUUCAUUUAUGCUGCCUGUUUCAAGCCAAUACACUGCUCAGUUGUGUUUGUGUAUUUGAAAAGUCCCCUGAUAGGAACUUUCUGAGGGGUGCCUGUGUUGUUGGCACAUUUGAGAACUAGACAAAAUCUAACUCUGUGUCUUUUUUCUUUCUUUUUCCCCUAUUAUUUGGUUUUGUUUUUUUAACAACCCCUCUGGAGUGUGUUUUGGUUCAUGGGAUCAGGCCACGUGCCCUGGUUUUCGAGGUAUAGCCUUGGCUUUCUUGGGUCGGGUCUAAUAACCCUGACCUUGGACUUCCCACGUGUCCUUCAAAGAAAGCAAUUAUUUUUGCCUAUUUUCUGAGUAUGAUGGUAUUCUCCAUUUGAUUUAACAAAAAAAUUCUUCCUCUGCUUUAAAAGACUGAAAGCCUCCCUGUAAGGUGCUGAUUGCCUUCCAGAUCUGAGGACCCCGUCUCUGCCUCAUUCCUCCUGUUUCCAUCAGAAGACACAGGUCUGGGACUCAGCGCAGCUGACCUGUCUGUCCCUCUCUGCACAGUUUACUCCUGGGCUCUGCAGAGAGAAGUCAGUGCCUCAAUUUUCCAUUGAAAUAUGCACCCUUGGCAUCCUGGCAGGAGUGGCAGCCACAGCAAAACAUCUUCUGCAGCGUCUGGCCAGGGCGUUACUCCAGCCCAGUUUUGCCCUGGACUAGAUUGAGUCAGGUCGUGCAUGGAACGCAAGCACAAACCACGGUCAGCUCCUCGAGACUGACCCACUGGCCCACUGAGCAGAGGAGCCCCUGGGUCUCUGGACGCUGCCCAGUUGUUGACAUCCUGAGGCAGGUUUGCGGCUGAUGGAGCAACAGGGACGGGCUGGGCCCGGCACCUUUUUCACGGAAAUGAUGAGCUCUGGACAGCAGUGAUGCCAGGGCCCAUAAAGCCUCAGGCGCCCGUCAUUGCUGCUGCCUGCGUGUGCUCGCUCACCGCGACGGCGGCGGGCUGGAGGAAGCUGUGCAAGAGCCAAGUGUCUACCAUGAGUCUGCAUGUUCAUAUGGUUCAGAUUUGCCUUGGAAUCCCCGCGAGCCAAACUCUUUCAUUUCACUUAGUAAAAGGGAUGCAUUGACUCAGAUGUUCUGUCCUAUUUAAAUGAGAGGGGCGCGGGAGGUGAUGGAACACAAAACCAUGAGCCAUGGCUUUGCUGGGGAAUGCUGUGGAUCUGGUGUGUGAUAGAGAGAGAGUGUGUGUGCGUGUGUGUGUGUGUAUGGCAAAGUGCACAAAUCGCACGUGUACACCUCAGUGGCUUUUUACACAUUUAGACGUGUGUAAGUGUAUAGAGCAUUUCCACACCCCAGAGGCCCCGAGCUCACUCCCUCCCGCUCUCCCCAUCCCUGACGCUAACCUGAU